rnacentral:rRNA from 1 species
UACGUAGGGCGCAAGCGUUGUCCGGAAUUAUUGGGCGUAAAGAGCUCGUAGGUGGCGUGUCGCGUCUGCCGUGAAGCCCAUGGCUUAACUGUGGGUCUGCGGUGGAUACGGGCAGGCUAGAGGCUGGUAGGGGCAAGCGGAAUUCCUGGUGUAGCGGUGAAAUGCGCAGAUAUCAGGAGGAACACCGGUGGCGAAGGCGGCUUGCUGGGCCAGUUCUGACGCUGAGGAGCGAAAGCGUGGGGAGCGAACUGG